UGAGUCAGUCGGAUGGUUACGUUUCCCCCCGAUAAUUCGGGAGGAGAUGAGGAAAGUCCGAGCACCGCAGGACAGGGCGCCACGUAACACGUGGGAUCCGUGAGGGUAUGGAAAGUGCAACAGAAAGUAAACCGUCCCGAUUUAUCGGGAUAAGGGUGAAAGGGUGGUGUAAGAGACCACCAGUCCCGACUGAAAGGUCUGGAGCUGGUAAACCCCGCCCGGUGCAAGACCGAAUAGUCUCUGAGAUGUAGUCCGCAUCAUUGCCUGUCGCGCCGUAGUGCAACGCAGGCCGAAAGAGCGGGUAGGUUGCGUGAAUUCCGUUGAGAAGCGGAAACCAGGUGAAUGACCAUCAAUUUCUCCUGUUAUUUAAGGAGGAGGAACAGAACACGGCUUAUAGACUGACUCAUUUU
rnacentral:RNase_P_RNA from 1 species